rnacentral:rRNA from 1 species
UACAGGGGGUGCAAACGUUGCUCGGAAUCAUUGGGCGUAAAGCGCACGUAGGCGGUUCGUUAUGUCGGAUGUGAAAGCCCUUGGCUUAACCGAGGAAGUGCAUCCGAAACUGGCGAGCUAGAGUACGAAAGAGGAUCACGGAAUUCCCGGUGUAGAGGUGAAAUUCGUAGAUAUCGGGAGGAACACCGGUGGCGAAGGCGGCGAUCUGGGUCGAUACUGACGCUGAGGUGCGAAAGCGUGGGGAGCAAACAGG